CAAAAACAUUUUUUAAUGAAAUUAUAUUAAAUCUUCUCUGCUCCAUGUUAUUAUAAAUAGCCGCAGAAAAUUUACUGUGCUAAGGUAGCAUAAUCACUUGUCUUUUAAUUUAAGACUAGAAUGAAAGAGGAUACAAUUGAUGAUAAUUUUUAAUUAUAUUAUUUUAAUUUUCAUUAAAAAUAAAAAUAUUUUUAUUUAAUUAAAAGACGACAAGACCCUAUUGAACUUAACUGAAGUUAAGCUGGGGAAGCUUAAUAAUCAUUAUUUUAUUAAACCUACUUAUAUAAACAUCUUUUGAGUAAUUUAAUCAAGUUACCAAAGGGAUAACAGCGUUAUACCUUUUUAAAGCUCUUAUUUAUAAAUGUGUAUACGACCUCGAUGUUGAAUUAGUUUUUCUUAACUAUGCAAGAAUAGUUAAAGUAAGUCUGUUCGACUUUUAAAAAAUUACAUGAUCUGAGUUCAAACCGG
rnacentral:rRNA from 1 species